GCUCCACCAUAGUGUGCUGGGUGGCUCCAUUAGUCACACAGCCACACACGUCACACGCUCCAGAUCUGAGAUUCUGACUGCACAACCCGAGUGCUAGGAGUGGGUGAGGACCCAGGGUACCAACGAGCAAAGUUUGCCGCUUUGGUUCUCAUUUCAAAACUACUUGAAAAUGAAGAACAGAAAGAGGUUUUCCCUGAAUCGUAAGGCAAAAAGAACGAAAGGAUAAAGUGAGAGACGUUGGUGACCCACAGGCUGGGAGGAGGGCUGAGCUGGGAGGGAAAGAGAAAAACAGGCUAUGUAGCCGAAACAGAAACACAUGUCAGCGUGUUCCGUUCUGACACGUGCCAUUUAAUGUAGAUUAACCAUGUAGACACCUGCCGACAACACUCAGUCUGUUAGCUCCGGAAUGAUGAGCAGCCAGUCCCUCUUCGGGGUUCAGGUUCCCUUGCCCGCCCGCCCCCCAGUCCGCUGACAUCCUUCCGCUGAUGACCCCUGGGGACCUGCGUUUCAUCUGGAAAUGACACGGCUUUGCCACGGGACUUGGCUUUGCGUGGGGGACAAGGACUUGUUCUCUCCAGAGAGGUCUGAGGGCUGCUGGCUGGGGAGCAGGGUGAUAAGAAGAAACCUUUCUCAGUUACACGGACUGGUGGCUGGAGACGGUUCCCUGUCCACAGCAGGAAUCAUUUACUCCAUUUGGCAUGGGGACUUGGGAUGAUUAAUUUUCACGGCCAACUUGAAUCUAGAAUCACCUGGAAUCACCCAGAAGUGCGUCUACAGGGAUCGCUUCCAGAGCGGUUUAAAGGAAAACCCAUCCUGAGUGUCAGCAACACCAUCUGAUGGGCUAGGAUCCAACAUCGAAUGGAAAGACUAGCAAGGAGCACCAUCAUCAACCCUUACUUACUGGGACACAAAGGGACCCCAAGCCUCACGCUUCUUCACUCCAUGCUUUCCCUGCCAGGAAGACAUGCUUGUAUCCUCAAACAAGAAACCCUCUUCCCUUAAGUUGCUUCUGCCAAUUAGUUUGCCACAGCAACACAUAAAGUAACUCAUACAUGACAUGCGCACAGGGCGCUCUUCCCUUCUCGUGUUCAUGGAGUCAUGGCCUGGCCACAUCGUUAUCCUUCCUCUUGCCCACACCAAUUGGCUUCCGGGUGACAUACUGGCCUCCUGCUGGGCAAGAAGUCAACUUUGAUUUUGGACUAUGAAGUACCUAAGGAAUAGUCUAGAAAUUGCCAUGAGAACUAAUACCCAAACCACUAGGAAUUUCUGACUCCCUGUUUCCCACAUGGUGGAAGGAGAGAAUUGACUCCCCCAGGUGCCCCUCUAACUUCUCCGCAAAUUUGCUGUGACACUCAUGUGCACACUCCAUGUACACACGCGCAUACACACUAAAUAAAAACAAAUAAAUAAGCAAAUAAAUAAAUAAAUAAAACUAAAAAGUUAAA